rnacentral:rRNA from 1 species
GAUGAACGCUGGCGGCGUGCCUAAUACAUGCAAGUCGAGCGAAUGGAUUAAGAGCUUGCUCUUAUGAAGUUAGCGGCGGACGGGUGAGUAACACGUGGGUAACCUGCCCAUAAGACUGGGAUAACUCCGGGAAACCGGGGCUAAUACCGGAUAACAUUUUGAACCGCAUGGUUCGAAAUUGAAAGGCGGCUUCGGCUGUCACUUAUGGAUGGACCCGCGUCGCAUUAGCUAGAUGGUGAGGUAACGGCUCACCAAGGCAACGAUGCGUAGCCGACCUGAGAGGGUGAUCGGCCACACUGGGACUGAGACACGGCCCAGACUCCUACGGGAGGCAGCAGUAGGGAAUCUUCCGCAGUGGACGAAAGUCUGACGGAGCAACGCCGCGUGAGUGAUGAAGGCUUUCGGGUCGUAAAACUCUGUUGUUAGGGAAGAACAAGUGCUAGUUGAAUAAGCUGGCACCUUGACGGUACCUAACCAGAAAGCCACGGCUAACUACGUGCCAGCCGCCGCCGCAG